UGAUAAUCCACCACCCUUUGCUGACUCUCUUUUCGGACUCAGCCCCCCUGCACCCAGGUGAAAUAAACAGCCUUGUUGCUCACACAAAGCCUAUUUAGGGGUCUCUUCACACGGACAUGUGAGACAUUUGGUGCCGAAAACCCAGGUCAGUGGGACUCCUUCGGGAGACCCUGUCCUCACUCUCACUCGGUGAAGAGAUCCACCUACGACCUCGGGUCCUCAGACCAACCAGCCCAAGGAACAUCUCACCGAUUUUAAAUCGGGUAAGCGGUCUCUUUUUACUCAUUUCUCCAACCUCUCUCACUAUCCCCCAACCUCUUUCUCCUUUCAGUCUUGGCGCCACCCUUCAAUCUCUCCCUUCUCUUAAUUUCAAUUCCUUUCAUUUUCUGGUAGAGACAAAGGAGACACAUUUUAUCUGGGAACCCAAAACUCCGGCGCCGGUCACGGACUCGGGAAGGCAGCCUUCCCUUGGUGUUUAAUCAUUGCGGGGACACCUCUCUGACUAUUCACCCAUGUUCCAUUGGUGUCUCAUCUCCGCGGGGACGCCUGCCUUGAUCAUUCAUCCAGGUUCCCUUGGUGGCAAGUCAAUUGCGGGGACGCCUGCUUUGGCUGCUCACCCACGUUGCGGCCCAGGACUGCUCCCCACACCCCUUCUCUGUGUCACUACCCUUCUCUUUAAACUUGCCUCCUUCACUAUGGGCAACUUUCCACCCUCUAUUCCUCCUUCUUCUCCCUUAGCCUGUGUUCUCAAGAUCUUAAAACCUCUUCAACUCUCGCCUGACCUCAAAUCUAAGCAUCUUAUUUUCUUCUGCGGUACCGCUUGGCCCCAGUACAAACUCGACAGUAGUUCCAGGUGGCCAGAGAAUGGCACUUGCGAUUUGUCUCUCCUACAAGAUCUAGAUAAUUUUUGUCGAAAAAUGGGCAAAUGGUCUGAAGUGCCUGACGUCCAGGCAUUCUUUUACACCUUGGUCCCUCCCUAGUCUCUGCUCCCAAUGAGACUCUUCCCAGAUCUUUCUUCUUUCUCUCCUGUCUGUUCCUUGAGUCUCCACCUCAAGCUCUGAGUCCUUUGAAUUUUUCUUUUCUACAGACUCAUCUGACUGCUCCCCUUCUUCCCAGGCUGCUCCUCACCAGGUCAAGCCAGGUCCCAAUUUUUCCUCAGCCUCUGCUCCCCCACCCUAUAAUCCUUCUAUCACCUCCCCUCCUCACACCCAGUCUAGCUUACAGUUUCGUUCUGCAACUAGCCCUCCCCCACCUGCCCAGCAAUUUCCUCCUAAAAAGGUGGCUGGAGCUAAAGGCAUAGUCAAGGUUAAUGCUCUUUUUUCUUUAUCCAACCUUUCCCAAAUCAAUUAGCAUUUAGGCUCUUUCUCAUCAAAUAUGAAAAACCCAGCCCAGUUCAUGGCUCAUUUGGCAGCAACCCUGAGACGCUUUACCACACUAGACCCUAAAACGUCAAAAGGCCAUCUUAUUCUCAAUAUGCAUUUUAUUAUCCAACCCACUCCCAACAUUAGAAAAAGCUCCAAAAAUUAGAAUCCGGCCCUCAAAUCCACAACAUGACUUAAUUAACCUCGCCUUCAAGGUGUACAGUAAUAAAGUAGAGGCAGCCAAGUAGCAAUGUAUUUCUGAGUUGCAAUUCCUUGCCUCCACUGUGACACAAACCCCAGCCACAUCUCCAGCACACAACUCCAAAUGCCUGAACUGCAGCUGCCAGGAGUUCCUCCGGAACCUCCUCCCGCAGGAGCUUGCUACAAGUGCCAGAAAUCUGGCCACUGGGCCAAGGAAUGCCCGCAGCCCGGGAUACCUCCUAAGCCAUGUCCCGUCUGUGCGGGACCCCACUGGAAAUUGGACUGUCCAACUCACCUGGCAGCCACGCCCAGAGCCCCUGGAACUCUGGCCCAAGGCUCUCUGACUGACUCCUUCCCAGAUCUUCUCAGCUUAGCGGCUGAAGACUGACGCUGCCCGAUCGCCUCGGAAGCCUCCGGGACCAUCAGAGACAUUUUGGGUGACUCUUACAGUGGAGGGUAUGAUGCAAGUGGAUAUAAAAUCAUGUUGCUAGAAUUCUCCAUGAAGGUCACAGGCCCCUGUGACAAGGCAGGUACACCCUGCCUUGUACCUGAAGGCCUGGUUCUGAAGCUAAGGGAGCUGCUGUAACCAGGAUCUGGUCUCACAUCAGUCUGGAGAGUGGUUGCCACUUCUUGGCUCUAGAGAACCCCCAACUUAUGUGGCUAGCGGCCCCCCAUCAUCGUGGGAUCAUUGUGCUCAGUGUGAUCACUUUGAGGAAUAUGGACAGAGAUUAAGAUUGAGAUUGAUGGAGAAAGAGAAAUACCCUAUCAAGAGCAAUAGCAGCAGAGACAGAGUGGCUCUGUGACUAGAAGGACUCCUGUGAUGGGUACGUGAACACGUAGGCUGGUCCCAGUAACUGCACCUCAGUGACCUUUCAGGCUCCAUGAGUCCUGAUUGCUAUGUGACAAUGUAUUCUAGCUUCCUGUGCAGCUUUACAAUAACCUCAGUAUCUGAGGUCACUUAUCUCUGUUCCUCUUCUGGCAAAAGAACCUAAUAAAAUACAU